rnacentral:piRNA from 1 species
UGUAGAAGAACUGGCUACUGGAUGGG